rnacentral:rRNA from 1 species
UACAGAGGUGGCAAGCGUUGUUCGGAAUUACUGGGCGUAAAGGGCGCGUAGGCGGCCUUCUAAGUCAGACGUGAAAUCCCCCGGCUUAACCUGGGAACUGCGUCUGAUACUGGGAGGCUUGAGUAUGGGAGAGGGAUGUAGAAUUCCAGGUGUAGCGGUGAAAUGCGUAGAUAUCUGGAGGAAUACCGGUGGCGAAGGCGGCAUCCUGGACCAACACUGACGCUGAGUGAGCGAAAGCCAGGGGAGCAAACGGG